rnacentral:rRNA from 1 species
GUGCCAGCCGCCGCGGUAAUACGUAGGGGGCAAGCGUUGUCCGGAUUUAUUGGGCGUAAAGCGUCCGCAGGCGGUCUGCCAAGUUUGGGGUGACAAUUUUCGGCUUAACCGAGAAACUGCUUCAAAAACUGGCAGACUUGAGGGCUUCAGAGGAAGGCGGAAUUCCGGGUGGAGUGGUGAAAUGCGUAGAUAUCCGGAGGAACACCGAUGGCGUAGGCAGCCUUCUGGGAAGCACCUGACGCUCAGGGACGAAAGCCAGGGGAGCGAACGGGAUUAGAUACCCUCGUAGUCC